GCCUGCAUAGGGUGUGUGGAGGAAAAGAGAGAGGAGAGAUGCAGGGAAAGGUUAUAAGAACAAUGUGAAAACCAGGUAACAUGGCUGGCAGCACUAAGAGAGCUUGAUGUACUCAUCGGGGUGAGGUUAAAUGCCCUGGCUUAUCCUCACUGACACUUCUUUCCUUUUCUUUCACUUUCCCCCUAUAUGUCUUGUCAAUUUCUGCAUCAAGAUUUUUAUUUUUUCUGUAAAGGGCAGAAAUCUCUCAAAGGUAAUCUCCCAGGAGUCAUAUACUGGGCAGUGGGCAUGGCCAGAAGAAAGAAUGGGCAGGCCAUCCCGUCUUCCUUUCUUCAAAUCGCCUACUUUCUCCCUGCCCAGCAGGCAAGCCAGGAGAGGGGCAGAUAACUCUUGCUAUAGUUCUGUACUGAUCAAUUACAGGGGACCCACCUCCCAUUUCCACUGUUGCUUUUCAGCUUACUUCCUCCAACACCCCAUUCUCCUUCUGUCCCUCUGGGCUCCCCCACCCACAUGAGAUUAGGCCAAGGGACCCAUGGGACUCUUAGGCCACAGGCUCCUCACUUGUGCUCUAGAUUGUAUGCUGCAGUCAGGGGCCUACAUUGUUUCUAGGGUUUGCAUACCACCUAGCAGUAUCAGACACUUGAUGCAUGUAUCUUCAACUGAGUGGGCUAAAACAAUUCAAAAUCCUGCACAAAAACUCAAAUCUAUCUAUCAAUGAAUACAGUCAUAUAAUCCAUGCAUAAGUUACAUAUAUUUAGGCAUCAGGCAAGACAUUCCUCUACUCCCACAUCUUUGGGCUAAUUAAAACUAUCUAUGGCUUUUUAAAUUGUGUGCAUAUGGGGGUAUUGUUUUUGUUUGUUAUUGUGGUAUGUUUUGGUGUUUUAUAUUGUAAACCUCCCUGUGAUCUUUGGCUGAAGGACGGUAUAGACAUUUAAUAAAUAACAAUAAUAAAUUUGCUUGGGCUCUAUGCAGUUCCAGCAUUUUGAUUAUUUUAAAGAGUUUUGAAUAUUUGAGCAGUAUACACUUAAAAAGCUGCCUUAUUCUGAAUCAGACUUUAGUCUGUGUAGCCUAAUAUUGUUUCAUCUUACUUGCCAAAGUAUGUUCCCUCUCUUAAAAGUAUUCUACGUGGAGAAGAUAAUUAUCCACAAGGUCUGCCAGGAAGCCAUGCAGGCAACAGGAACCCCCAACUGCUAUGCACUAGAGACAACUGCUACCUGUACAUCUUCAAAUGCAACCUGGCUAACUCCAGUAUUUCACAGAGAAUCAUCAUCCAUCUAACUGAAAUACUCUCCAACGGCCCAUCAGCCUUGCCUUCUCUUUGAAAUAGCCCAGCUGAGCACUGCACAGACUGUGAUUUCCCCCCCUUCUAAGAUGUCUUACUCACUCCAUAAGCUCAAGACUGACAGUCGAAUUUCACACUGUGAUAGCCCCCCAUCGAUUUUUCACUUGCAGGGAGCAACUCUACAAAUUAAAGUUAACAGCAUUGUUGAAACUUUGAAAUAACUGAGGGGGGAAAAUGGGAUCGAAAAGAUACCUGAACACCAGGGGUUCAAUGUUUUUGGGGGAGAGGGAGGAAAAUCCAAAGGUGAAGGGCAUUUCCAGACAAUUAAAACCUUUUGAAAGGGAAUUCCUUUGAAUAAAUGAAAUCAUAUCAAAAGA